GAUGAACGCUGGCGGCGUGCCUAAUACAUGCAAGUCGAGCGAACAGAUGAGGAGCUUGCUCCUCUGACGUUAGCGGCGGACGGGUGAGUAACACGUGGAUAACCUACCUAUAAGACUGGGAUAACUUCGGGAAACCGGAGCUAAUACCGGAUAAUAUAUUGAACCGCAUGGUUCAAUAGUGAAAGACGGUUUUGCUGUCACUUAUAGAUGGAUCCGCGCCGCAUUAGCUAGUUGGUAAGGUAACGGCUUACCAAGGCAACGAUGCGUAGCCGGCCUGAGAGGGUGAUCGGCCACACUGGAACUGAGACACGGUCCAGACUCCUACGGGAGGCAGCAGUAGGGAAUCUUCCGCAAAGGGCGAAAGCCUGACGGAGCAACGCCGCGUGAGUGAUGAAGGUCUUCGGAUCGUAAAACUCUGUUAUUAGGGAAGAACAAAUGUGUAAGUAACUAUGCACGUCUUGACGGUACCUAAUCAGAAAGCCACGGCUAACUACGUG
rnacentral:rRNA from 1 species